rnacentral:rRNA from 1 species
UACGGGGGGGGCAAGCGUUGUUCGGAAUUACUGGGCGUAAAGGGCUCGUAGGCGGCCAACUAAGUCGGAUGUGAAAUCCCCAGGCUUACCUAGGUGGAACUGCAUCCGAUACUGGAUGGCUUGAAUCCGGGAGAGGGAUGCAGAAUUCCAGGUGUAGCGGUGAAAUGCGUAGAUAUCUGGAGGAAUACCGGUGGCGAAGGCGGCAUCCUGGACCGGCAUUGACGCUGAGGAGCGAAAGCUAGGGGAGCAAACGGG